rnacentral:miRNA from 1 species
CAAAAAGUUCGUCCAGAUUUUU